rnacentral:rRNA from 1 species
GGAGGUCACACCCGUUCCCAUACCGAACACGGAAGUUAAGCUCUCUAGCGCCGAUGGUAGUUGGGACCUUGUCCCUGUGAGAGUAGGACGUCGCCAAGC